rnacentral:rRNA from 1 species
UACGAAGGGGGCUAGCGUUGUUCGGAUUUACUGGGCGUAAAGCGCGUGUAGGCGGGCUGGUAAGUUGGGGGUGAAAUCCCGAGGCUCAACCUCGGAACUGCCUCCAAAACUGUCAGCCUGGAGCAAGAUAGAGGCGAGUGGAAUUGCGAGUGUAGAGGUGAAAUUCGUAGAUAUUCGCAGGAACACCAGUGGCGAAGGCGACUCGCUGGAUCUUUGCUGACGCUGAGACGCGAAAGCGUGGGGAGCAAACAGG